rnacentral:rRNA from 1 species
GACGAACGCUGGCGGCGUGCCUAAUACAUGCAAGUAGGACGCAGUUGCGAACGGGUGAGUAACGCGUAGGUAACUGCCUAUUAGAGGGGGAUAACUAUUGGAAACGAUAGCUACUACCGCAUACUAGUAGAUGGACCUGCGUUGUAUUAGCUAGUAGGUAGGGUAAUGGCCUACCUAGGCGACGAUACAUAGCCGAAGUGGUAGGGUGAUCGGCCACACUGGGACUGGGACACGGCCCCGAGUCAUACGGGAGGGAGCAGUAGGAAAGCUGAGGCAAUGGGAGGAGCCCUGAGCAAGCAACGCCGAGUGAGUGAAGAGGAUUUUCGGAUCGUAGAGCGCUGUUGUUAAGGAGACGGUACUUAACGAGAAAGGGACGGCUAACUACGUGCCAGCCGCCGCGGUAAUUC